AGCAAUCAGCGAGACUCCGUGGGCGUAGGACCCUCCGAGCCAGGUGCGGGAUAUAUUCUCGUGGUGCGCCGUUUUUUAAGCCCGUCGGAAAGGCGCAGUAUUUGGGUAGGAGUGACCCGAUUUUCCAGGUGCCGUCCGUCACCCCUUUCUUUGACUCAGAAAGGGAACUCCCUGACCCCUUGCGCUUCCCAAGUGAGGCAAUGCCUCGCCCUGCUUCGGCUCGCGCAUGGUGCUCGCUCCCACUGACCUGCGCCCACUGUCUGGCACUCCCUAGUGAGAUGAACCCGGUACCUCAGCUGGAAAUGCAGAAAUCACCCGUCUUCUGCGUCGCUCACGCUGGGAGCUGUAGACUGGAGCUGUAGACAGGAGCUGUUCCUAUUCGGGCAUCUUGGCUCCUCCUUGACAAGCUUGAAGGUGAGCACCUCGAAGGGCUUCUUUUUAUGUUGAAAGGCACGGGUUUGCAUGGCGGUUCAUCAGAGGUCAAUACCCCAGUUUGAGAAAGUCCACUGUGGGGAGGAAAGAGAGACUUGUAAGUACCAACUGUGCUCCACUCUGGUUUUGUCUGUAAGC
rnacentral:lncRNA from 1 species